rnacentral:rRNA from 1 species
UUCUGGGAGGAUUGACAGAUCCAGAGAUCUUUCUUGAUUCUGUGGAUUUCGGUGCAUGUCCGUUCUUAGUUGUUAAAGUGGUUUGUCUGGUUAAUUCCGAUAACAAACGAGACUCUAGUCAAUCAAAUACGUGCGUGGUCCUGUGCUACUUGCACCCUUCUUAGAAGGAGAAGCGGCUCCUAUACUUCGUCUCUCCUUAAUAUAUAUAUAUGGCCUACUGUUAGCCGCGCGUGCUCAAAGCGCGAGCUAGUCGCUUUGAAUGAAGUCACGGCGGCUACACGAGUGCUUGUGCAGCGGGUGCUCUAGUCAAGGCAGUCAAGGCUGGCCGCUCGCGCUAACACAGCGUUCGCGGUUAGUUCAUGCUAAAGUCACUGGAUGCAGGGAAAGUAACGCCAAGCUCCCCGUGUGGUUGCCAUCAUGGUCCGCGAAAUGAGCAAUUUCUCCUUGACCCCUCCGUUCUUGGUGAGCCGAUCUAGAUCCGCUGGUGACGCGUAGCUUUAUGUAGUGUUUUUUUGUAUACCGAGAUUAUGCUAACCAAACACUGGUGAAACAAGCAUACACCGUCGUACCACCACUAGAUGCAGUGUCGGUGCUUAGAGGCAUUGAAAAAUAAGUUUACUGUAUUUAAAUACACAAGAAGAACAAUUUAAUUGUAAGAGAUCCAUGGAGAUAGGCAUGGAUAAUAAGUUGACUGCAUACAGAGUGCCAAAGACUCUUAUAUUGGCGAGGAACGCCUCCAGUACGAUGAUGCUCCAUGGUAAUCUUGGCGCGACUGGUUUAGAGCGACCCUCAGGAAGCUUCGAAGAUUUAAAUGGACCAAGAUGGCGAAUUCCAUGGCAACGUAGACCGAUUAGCCAAUCGCCUUGCUAGGUUUGGGUCGUCUGUAUGUUAGUACCCGUCUGUGUCCGGCUAGCAGGUAGGGAAGGCAAUGGCGCUACUUUCCUAGGAUCCAGUGACUUUAGUUCAUGCUAGGGUGAGACGAAGUAUAGCUAUAGCCGCACGAAACUGAGCAAUAAAUGGUCCGUGAUUCCCUUAGAU